rnacentral:rRNA from 1 species
AUGGAGGCUGCGACAGGAGAGGCGGCCCCGCCGCGACCCUUGGCGUCGUCGGCGGCGGAGCAGGAGCGCCCCGCCCCUCCGUACCUCCCCAGGCUCGUCGCCGGCGUCCUCUCCGGUGUGCUCACCGGCCUCUUCGCGGUCGCUGGAGGCUUGACGGGGGCGGUCACCGGCGCGUUGGCUGGGAGAGCUUCGGACAGCGGCGUUCUCCGGGGAGCUGGGCUGGGGGCAUUUGCUGGCGCUGUCCUGUCCAUUGAGGUCCUGGAGGCUUCCCGCGCUUAUUGGUGCGCCGACAGGUCAACACCGCAGAGUACAUCAUCCAUGGGGGAUUUCGUGGAUCAGCUCCUUCAUGCUCGGUUUGUGGGAGAGCAGUACGAGCCAUCAGUGUAUAUGUCAUAUCGUUGGCAGGUUGGUAUUGCAGAGUUUGGCAAUGAUGAUCCGUAUGAUAUCACUGGAGAAAUUUCAUCCGAUGGGCUCUCACAGGAUAACUUGAAGAAGUUGCCAUACCAUGUGGUGAUUGAUCAGAAACAAGAGCCAGCUGGUGAAAACUUGUCUUGCCCUAUUUGCCUACAGGAUAUCGUGACGGGAGAGAUGGCGAGGAGGCUGCCGAAGUGUUGUCACACCUUCCAUCAGCCCUGUGUGGACAAAUGGCUCAUUGGCCAUGGUUCGUGCCCUGUUUGUAGGCAAGAUGUGUAA